rnacentral:sRNA from 1 species
CGAAAUGUAUAUAAGAAAUACUCAAGUUAAUAAAAAAAAAAAAAGAGGUCCCUUUUCCUCCUCCUAUCCAGAGACCCAUUGAGGCAUGUGGUGAGCCUGUCAAUACUGCCUUUCCUUACUCCAGUGUCCUUUGUUAAGAGAGAAUACUGUAGCUCACCCCCACUGCUUCAAAAGGGAACCUGCUUAGAAUCUGCUUGUCAUUAAGGCUCCCUAGAGAAACCUGAUAAAUUAACGGUAGAUAAUAAUCUCUUAUGUCUGAGAAGAACUUUUCAUCUGUUUCCUCUGUUUUUAAUCCUAUUAUUAAUCCUACAUUGCAAAUAAGAAUGAGAGGCUUAAAGAGGUAAUUUGUCAAACAUGCCAUCACACUAAGACACAAAUAUGGGACAAGUAUCUGAUACAGUCUAGGGGCCUUAAUUGGGUUCAUUUUUCUCGCCCAAUUAAAGAAUUAAAAAGUCAAGAAAACUCUCAAGUGGGACAGGUAGCAGGAGAGAAAUCUGGAACACCACAAACAGAAGCCAACAGAAAAAGGCCUUGAAGAUAGGCAUUUGUUGUGGAUAAUGGAAUACACACAUGCAGCAGAUGCAUAGAAAAAGAUCUUCAAAGCAGAGGGGAGACAGGAAGAUGAAAAUCCAUCUGAUCUCAACUGCUGGAGUUUUUUGUGGUUUGGUGGUGGUGGUGUUUGGUUGGUUCUGUUUUGUUUUUAAGUCUCUAAAUAAAGAGUUUUCUUCCCCUGAUUUGGAGUUGGUCUGUUUGAAGAAAUAUAAAUUGUUGAUUGGCCCACAAUUAUUGUAUAACAUGCCCUGAUCAGGCCUUGAACUUGCCAGCCAGUCCAUGAGCAGAGGACCUGCUAAUGGAAGACAAAAGCCUACAGGCCUUUGUUUUUAGCUGACCUGGAGAAGAAGCAGCUAGCCAUCUUGGAAGUUUAUUACCUAGACCCUCUCCCUGUCUGUCUCCCUACGGAGUAAUCCAUAUAACUGCUCCGAGUUCUUCAUUCCCUGCUCUCAGAAAUCACCCUUGGGUUUCAUAAUGCCAGCCACUCUCAGUUGCUUCUAGCUGACCAAAGGAAUGAUGAGGGACAGGCGGUAGUGCAAGUAUCUGAGACAGAAGUCGAUGUAAGGACCUUGAUGGCUAUGAUCCCGAGCACACUAUAGACAUGUGGUGGUAGGAGGGUCUUUGGAGCUUGCCAUGGAGGGAGGUAGCAUCUGUAACACAUGAAAAGUGAAAUCGUUAAGAAUCCUAUAAUUCCUACUAAGAGCACAAUUUAAAAAUUAUCUGGAGCAAUUUAGCCCUUAUUAGAGGAAUAAGAUGGGCAACAAAACCAUCUAAAGAAGCCUUAAGUUUGGUCAUAGGUAUCAACAAGAUUGAUGGUUUCUCUGCCACCAUUACCUACCAUAAGAUAUUCUCCAUGGGGUCUGGAAAGAUGGAUCAGAAGUUAAAAACAUUUGCUGUUCUUGUGAAGGUCCAGGGUUUGGUUCCCAGUACCUUCAUGCCAGCUUUCCACCUGGAAGCACUGUGAGGCAUGUCAGUUAAAGUAAUUGUUCUAUUGUGGGUGCCUGUCCAAAAAUAGGUGUCUUUGCUGUUAUACCAGAAAACUUGAGUAAUUUACAACAGGGUAUCUGGUGGUCCCCUUUAAUUGGGAAUGUAGGUAGUUAGGGUGCAGGAUGUCAUAUAAUACAUGAGAUUUGCUGGAAAGAUUAUGAAUGAAAUAGAGAAGUAGCCAGUAUAAUUUAGAAAACUGUUACAUCAGCCAUGAGAAUUCAAGGAAAUUUUCCACAUGGCUCCAAAAUGUAUUUCUUACCUAAUUUCUACUAUUUCAAAUGGCUUACUUAAUUUUUUUGGAAUGAGGUGAAACACUUAUAAUAGUGUUUGCAAAUAUUUGCUCUCGAGAGUUCACAGAUGUCCAUAGGAAGUCUACAGUGAGUACGGUCUUCACUUCAGUUAACAUUAUGGUUUCCAUAGCCAAAGGACUUUUCAUUUUAUUAUGUAAAGACCACAGUGUGGAAGGGAAGGAAACAGAGCCUUAAAACAAGACACAGCAUUGUUCUGUUUGUACUGCACAUGCCCACUUGCAGAGCUCAGACUGCCAGUAUCCAAGGGCUCACCCAUUAAACAUUAUCCUAAAAGAACACUGGUACCACUGACAUGGACGAGACAUGAGGCUAGGUUACAGUUUAGCCAGAUGACAUUAGAGGGCCUGUGUUCUUAUGAAUGUGUUGAUAUACUAACUGAACAAAACCAUGAGCUUGAAGAAAAACGUCCUGACCUACAACCAUCUAAUAAUCCAGUGUGCUAAAAUUGAAGUUUGUGGGGAAAUAGAUAGCAGUUUAACCUAUUCUCUCUGCCACUGAACUUCAGUCAAUGUCAUUCUGUCCUCAAGAGAAUUCAUAAUAUGAAAUAAUUUUUAUUAGAAACUUUUAAUGAGCUAUCUCAGUACUUUACAUGCUAAGUCCUCUUUAAUUGAAUUUUUGGACAAAACUGCCAUAUACAGGACUUAAGGCUGUAGUAUCUCCCUUGAAGGGUGUUAGAUAGCUUGGCUCACUUCCUCUUUUCAGAGGGCCCAUCAUUGCCAUUGCUACUGACAUCAGGGCGAAAUGGGAAGGCGACUGUACCUUGGAACAGUCACCACUGUCACCUUUGGGAAGCCAUUCAGUGUGACUUUCCUUUCUGGCUUGUUAUUUUUUUACCUUAAGUUCGUUUGUUUUCCUUUCCUUUCCUUAUGGGAACAGGCGGGUCUUCCUGACUUCUCUAGACUUAGUAUUUGAAGAA